AGUUGGAGGACUUUCUGGUCGGACUAGGAAGUUCAAUGUAGCAGAAGUUUCUUCAGACAGAGACUUAGGAAGGCGUGUUUGAUUACAGCAGGAGCAAGUACAGUAUUUCGUACAAAAGCUGGCAGCUCUAAGCUCUCAGUUUUUAGAAAUUUGAUUUGAUUCCAUCCUCCCUGGGUUUCAGCAGCUUUACUAGUGUGGACACCAGAACUUAACACAGUUUAAAAUAUCUAUCCAUUAGUGCUAUGUACAAAGCAUCACACUGGACACUUAAAGUGAGAUGCUUUUCUGCUAGAAUUCCUGCAGAAGAAAAUGAUCCAGGAGGCCAUUUAUAUAUAUAUAAAGAUCAAGCAUCACAUUUAGAGAAAGAAAUCCUGAAGGUCUUGGAUGUUGCUCAGGACAAACUUAAAGGACAUUUAAGGAGAGUAGUUGCAUCUUUUUCCCUUGCAGACCAACUCUGAAAAGA